UACAGAGGGGGCAAGCGUUGUUCGGAAUUACUGGGCGUAAAGGGCGCGUAGGCGGCCUGUUAAGUCGAACGUGAAAUCCCUCGGCUCAACCGGGGAACUGCGUCUGAUACUGGGUGGCUUGAAUUCGGGAGAGGGAUGCGGAAUUCCAGGUGUAGCGGUGAAAUGCGUAGAUAUCUGGAGGAACACCGGUGGCGAAGGCGGGUCA
rnacentral:rRNA from 1 species